CGAACUGCAUGGUACGGUGUGGUAUAGGCUGGUACAGACCUGGUAUGGUUGGUACGGCAUCGGUACAAUUUGGUUUUUUAUUUUUUUUUGGCCCUUGGAUGGAUUUUUUUUGAUUUUUUUAUUGUCGGUACGGACCGAUAUGGUACAGUAUCGUACUGGUCGGCAACUGGCAUGGGAUGCGAUACCGGUAUUUAAAAUCUUGUAGCAAACCGUACACUUGAUCAUAAGCCUCA
rnacentral:lncRNA from 1 species